rnacentral:misc_RNA from 1 species
CCCCUUCAAACUCACAAAAACAACUGUCUGGAUCGGCUAAAAGUUUAGGGUCCAAUAAUUCAUCUUGAUCAACACCAGCUAUUUUCUUCUUUCUCUGCUGUGUUUUUGGUUCCAACCAUGGAUCAGAGCCGCUGCCUGGUGCAGCAGAAGAAGAAGCAGCGGCGGCGGCACGAGAAUGAGGAAGAAAUCUGUUAGACGAAACUUUUG